GACGAACGCUGGCGGCGUGCUUAACACAUGCAAGUCGAACGAGACGAUUGAAAGCUUGCUUUUAAAAGUCGAGUGGCAAACGGGUGAGUAACGCGUAGACAACCUGCCUUUGAGAUGGGGACAACAGUUCGAAAGGACUGCUAAUACCGAAUGUUGUAUAUUUUCCACAUGGAAGAUAUAUUAAAGAUGGCCUCUAUUUAUAAGCUAUCGCUCAAAGAUGGGUCUGCGUCUGAUUAGCUAGUUGGUGGGGUAACGGCCUACCAAGGCGACGAUCAGUAGACGGGCUGAGCGGAUGAACGGCCACAUUGGGACUGAGACACGGGCCAGACUCCUACGGGAGGCAGCAGUGGGGAAUCUUCCACAAUGGACGAAAGUCUGAUGGAGAAACGCCGCGUGAGUGAAGAAGGGUUUCGGCUCGUAAAGCUCUGUUAUCGGGGACGAAUGUGCAGUAUUUGAAUAAAGUACUGCAAUGACGGUACCUGACGAGGAAGCCACGGCUAACUACGUGCCAGCCGCCGCGGUAA
rnacentral:rRNA from 1 species